rnacentral:lncRNA from 1 species
CCCGGCCCCUUCCUCUCAGGAAUUUUUUAUAUGAAAUACAUCUGCGGCUUCUGGCCAUACUUACUACCUCUGAAUAUAGUUCAUGGGCCCCCCAAAUAAAACGCAGUUUCCAGAAUAGAAUCAAUACUCUCUGUGUCAGCAUGAAGUGCAGAGGGAAACAGAACCAUUGCUUCCCUUGUUCCAGACUCUGGGCUUCUAGCAAUGCCACUUAAGGGCAUGCUCACUUUCAUGUCACUGAGUCGAGCUGAAUUUACAUCGACUAAAAUGACUUUUUCCAUGAGUGCUGCUGAUAAACUAGGUCUUCAUUAUAUGCACAUUUUUCCUGGCCUCCUGUCACUUGCAAUUCUGAUCAUUAUGCCAUUAAAGACAUCUGUAACGAAAAAUCAUCAUUCAAAAAACGAGAUGAAAAUGGGAUAUAAAAAGUAGCAAAGAACCAUAGACCCCUCCCUGUAGACAGCCAGCUCAACUAGUCACGAACACCCUAAGGGUCUAUUUUAAAAACAUUUCCUCCAUAAAAACAUCACGGAGAGGCUUUGCUAACUACUGCCAUCUAAAAACAAAUAUUCUCCUCCCCUACCUGCCUAACAACCCAAUCCAAAACUACACAAUAGGCUGGAAAGACAUGGCUCAGGCUUCUGAAUCCCUGCCGGCUAAUAAUGACUACUUUCUUUUCUGUGUGCUUGGAAAACUUUCUUUCAUUUGUUCACUUGACAAAUAUGUAAGACCCAGCAUGGGCCAGGCACAUUAAGGAAGGAGGUAAUAAAGAAGAGAGGAAGGGAGGAGGGAGAACAGAACAAGAAGUUCCAACCCAAGGAUCCGACCCAACUUCGCACUGCUUUGCGUUUCAAUCCAAACCCCAUCAGGUCUGGAGGCUGUGUGUGGAGAGUGUGCAUGCAUGUUGCAUUCUUCUGAGUCUCCAUACUGCAAAGGAUGAAACCAGCUCACCCAUAGGGCAAGGUGAA